rnacentral:rRNA from 1 species
UACGUAGGGUGCAAGCGUUGUCCGGAAUUAUUGGGCGUAAAGAGCUCGUAGGCGGUUUGUCGCGUCGGCUGUGAAAGCCCGGAGCUCAACUCCGGGUCUGCAGUCGAUACGGGCAGACUUGAGUGUUGCAGGGGAGACUGGAAUUCCUGGUGUAGCGGUGAAAUGCGCAGAUAUCAGGAGGAACACCGGUGGCGAAGGCGGCAUCCUGGACUGGUCCUGACACUCGAGGAGCGAAAGCGUGGGGAGGCGAUCCGG